rnacentral:sRNA from 1 species
UGGAUAAAAUAAUUAGAACCGAAUCGAGUUGAACCAUAACUUUUUCGGUUUCUUAUGGAUCUUCAGAGUUUAGAACCGAAAGAAGCAAACCGAAUAUAAAUGAAUGCUCUGGCCUAGUAUUUAUGUACUAAAUUAUUAUAAUUAUAUAU